rnacentral:hammerhead_ribozyme from 1 species
AUUCAGCUGAGAAGUCCCAAGUAGGACGAAACGCGCGUCGUGGAU